rnacentral:lncRNA from 1 species
AAAAUACAAGAGACAAUAAAUAGUAACAAAAACAACAAAUAGUACAUCAGAGAAUAUGAUACAAUAGCAACAUACCCAACGUUGUUUCAUAAAAUGGAUUUUGAAGAGAAUAGAGUGUCUGCAAACAAUACAUCUUUACCAUAGGUGGGGUAGAGAUGUUAUUUUCUAUAGAAACUUGAUUCAAGACAAUAACAGGAUAAAAAAGACGUAAUGAAAAUACAAGAGACAAUAAAUAAUAACAAAAACAACAAUAGUAGCAGACAACACGCAGAUGCUCUCAAAUACAACAGCAACAUACCGAACGUAGUUCUAUAAAAUGGAGUUUGAAGAUUAUUAGUGUGUGGAAACAAUACUUUUGAAGAUAAUAGAGUGUGUAAACAAUACCUCUAUCCCAUAGGUGAGGUAGAGAUGUUAUUUUCUAUAAAAACCCGGUUCAAGACAAUAACAAGCUAAAAAAGACAUAAGUAAAAUGCAAAGACAAUAGAUAGUAAUAAAAACAACACAUAAUAG